GACGAACGCUGGCGGCGUGCUUAACGCAUGCAAGUCGAACGGAAAGGCCCUGCUUUUGUGGGGUGCUCGAGUGGCGAACGGGUGAGUAACACGUGAGUAACCUGCCCUUGACUUUGGGAUAACUUCAGGAAACUGGGGCUAAUACCGGAUAGGAGCUCCUGCUGCAUGGUGGGGGUUGGAAAGUUUCGGCGGUUGGGGAUGGACUCGCGGCUUAUCAGCUUGUUGGUGGGGUAGUGGCUUACCAAGGCUUUGACGGGUAGCCGGCCUGAGAGGGUGACCGGCCACAUGGGGACUGAGAUACGGCCCAGACUCCUACGGGAGGCAGCAGUGGGGAAUAUUGCACAAUGGGCGGAAGCCUGAUGCAGCAACGCCGCGUGCGGGAUGACGGCCUUCGGGUUGUAAACCGCUUUCGCCUGUGACGAAGCGUGAGUGACGGUAAUGGGUAAAGAAGCACCGGCUAACUACGUG
rnacentral:rRNA from 1 species